rnacentral:misc_RNA from 1 species
GGAAUAAAAGUCGUAACAAGGUUUCCGUAGGUGAACCUGCGGAAGGAUCAUUAUUGUAUAACCGAGGUGCGAGGGCUGUCGCUGACCCGAAAGGUCGUGCACGCCCGAGUGCCCUCACACACAUCCAUCUCACCCCUAUGUGCACCACCGCGUGGGUCCCCCCUUGGCUUGUUCGGAGGGGGGCUUACGUUUUCACACAAACUUUGUAUGCAGUGUAGAAUGUAUUUUUUGUUUUUGCGAUCACGCAAUCAAUACAACUUUCAACAACGGAUCUCUUGGCUCUC